CCGUCCGAUGGCUGGAUUGAGCGCCGGCCUUCUAAGCCGGCGGUUACAGGUUCGAUUCCUGUCGGGCGCGCCA
rnacentral:tRNA from 1 species